GCACAGGUGGCGGAAUUGGUAGACGCACUAGCUUGAGGUGCUAGCGGGAGCAAUCUCGUCCGAGUUCGAGUCUCGGCCCGUGCA
rnacentral:tRNA from 1 species